CUCUCUCUUGCAGUAGCAGAAAAACAUGCACCUCUGUCUGUUGUGGUGUGGAACAGCAGUGCUGAAUGAAGCACUGGCCUUUUCUGUUUCAUUUACCAGGGAGAGCCUUGGACAACUUGCUGAUUGCUGAGUGAAUUUGAAGAUAUGAAAAACCACAGCAUAGUGUAACAAUGAAGGAACAAUACUAAGAUCUGACCUUGGUGCAUUUAUUCAUGUGCUUGAAGUUACACAAGUCUUUUGCUCUGUUUACCACAGUAACUAGCGUGAGGAAAUUAUCUACAGUGCAUCAUCUGAACGUGUCCAGUGUUUUGUGCAACUACACUGUCUAAGAAGAGGAUAACACAACAGGACUUCUGCCACAAGCACCUUUCUUUUGUGAUGUCACAAAUUUGUUGCAGGGUCUCCUCAUCAACGGCUUCCAGGCCCUGCCCGUGUUGGUUGUUAACAUCACCAAAAGAAGUAAGCUUGAUGGGGGGAUCCCGGUGACAGUGGGACCUGUGUCCUUUCAUUCCAUCAUCCUUCCACACCUCCAGGCAGAGCAUCACUGGGCAGCAUCCACCUGCUCCUUGGUUAACCUUCGAGAAGCGACGGGUGAUGUCAGGGCUUCUCUGCUUCAUGCCCUCCUCCAGUUCCCUAUCUGUGUAUUUCCAGUUCUGUAACUCUUCCCUUUCUAUCAUUUGUUGUUCAUUGCUGUUCAAUUUUUUCUCCUUGUUUUCAUUACCUAUAGCCCUCUCCCUCCCUAGGGGGCCUUCAAGGUUUUGCUAAUACAUACCUAAACAGAAAAACAAAUAGAAACAGCAGCAGUAGGAGAAACUAUUCACAGAGUGCACACAAGCUUGGCCACCUUCUUCAAACCAUGUUCUUUGUACUCCCCUAGCUUCCAUGGCUCUUAUGAAGAUAAAUCGUUGCUUAGUCCUUUCACUAUCCAUUUUUUGGAUUUUUUGUAUGUGAACUUAUCCAAUUCUUGUCUGAACCUACUGUUGGGAUCUGCUGCCACAACCUCUUUCAGCAGCAAGUCUAAAAAUACACUAGCCACUGUUUAAAUUAAUGUGUUAUUUUUAUCUGUUUUAAUUCCACCAAAUAAGCCAAAAUUGUAAUGUGGUGAAAAAUGGUUCUAUAUUCAUCUUUUCAGCCACCUCUGUGAUUUCAUAAACAAGUCUUGCCACAGCGCUCUCCCAGUUGAUAAUUUUUUAGUCUGAUCUCAUAAGACAGCCGCUACCUUUAAUCCCUUUAAUAAUUGCAAUUGUUUGAUAUGUAUCUUCCCUAACUUUUAUCAGGUCCUAUUCCAGGACCAAAACUGUAGAGCAUUCAAAAUGUGGAUACAAUAGAGUUGCAUUAGAGGUAAGGCAAAAUGAUGCUUUCUCACUACCAUUUCAGAUUAUGCCAAACACUGGGUUUUGCCUCUUGUUUGACAAACUCAUGCAGGGAUUUCAGAGAAUUUCAGUCUCAAGAACUUUAACAUUUCUGAGCUGUAUCUGGUCAUAAGAUCUGGAAGUGCUUUGUGACAAUUUGUGUACUUCAGAGAAAGCUAAUUAAAUACUGUUGUUAAAUUUUAGAAGCAUUUCAGUUAACCAGAAUUUCAUUCUGAAUCCCAUAAACGAUUACUUUUUACCAUUUUUCAUAUCAUCCAUGAAUAUGUCUAUUGGUCCCAGUGCUGUAGGUCUUCCAAAGGAACACCUCUACUUGGAGUGAAGUGGAAUUCUAGUUUAAAUAAGCUCAAAUGUAUCUUUGGUAUAAGGCAGACAAGGUGAAAACACUGUAGAUCUUAGCUAGGAAGACAACAUAGAGAGCAAAUUGGAAUUAUUUUUGGAUCAGUACCUGAGUCCUAUGAUAGAAAAGCCAGCUGCUUCUUCUGUGGUUGAUGAUCUCCAUGCUGAGUGUAGAAGAAGGAGGGGAAUGAGUGCUCCUUAAACAUCAUUGAAAUUUUCAUAGGUUUUUGGGAAUUUUCUUAAUUCCUUAAUUUUCAAUGCC